GACGAACGCUGGCGGCGUGCUUAACACAUGCAAGUCGAGCGGAAAGGCCCUUCGGGGUACUCGAGCGGCGAACGGGUGAGUAACACGUGAGUAAUCUGCCCCUCACUCAGGGAUAACCGCGGGAAGCUGCGGCUAAUACUUGAUAUGACCACGUCUCGCAUGGGGUGUGGUGGAAAGCGUUUAGUGGUGAGGGAUGUGCUCGCGGCCUAUCAGCUUGUUGGUGAGGUAGUGGCUCACCAAGGCUUCGACGGGUAGCCGGCCUGAGAGGGUGACCGGCCACACCGGGACUGAGACACGGCCCAGACUCCUACGGGAGGCAGCAGUGGGGAAUAUUGGACAAUGGGCGAAAGCCUGAUCCAGCAACGCCGCGUGAGGGAUGACGGCCUUCGGGUUGUAAACCUCUUUCACCUCUGACGAAGCGCAAGUGACGGUAAGGGGAGAAGAAGGACCGGCCAACUACGUGCCAGCCGCCGCGGUAAUAC
rnacentral:rRNA from 1 species